AUUGAACGCUGGCGGAAUGCUUUACACAUGCAAGUCGAACGGCAGCACGGGGGCAACCCUGGUGGCGAGUGGCGAACGGGUGAGUAAUACAUCGGAACGUGCCCAAUCGUGGGGGAUAACGUAGCGAAAGCUACGCUAAUACCGCAUACGAUCUACGGAUGAAAGCGGGGGAUCGCAAGACCUCGCGCGAAUGGAGCGGCCGAUGGCAGAUUAGGUAGUUGGUGGGGGUAAAGGCUCACCAAGCCAACGAUCUGUAGCUGGUCUGAGAGGACGACCAGCCACACUGGGACUGAGACACGGCCCAGACUCCUACGGGAGGCAGCAGUGGGGAAUUUUGGACAAUGGGGGGCAACCCUGAUCCAGCCAUGCCGCGUGAGUGAAGAAGGCCU
rnacentral:rRNA from 1 species